AUUGAACGCUGGCGGCAGGCCUAACACAUGCAAGUCGAGCGGAGCGGCGGACGGGUGCGUAAUGCCUAGGAAUCUGCCUGGUAGUGGGGGAUGAGGUCCGGAAACGGGCGCUAAUACCGCAUCCUCUCAGAUGAGCCUAGGGCGGAUUAGCUAGUUGGUGGGGUAAAGGCCUACCAAGGCGCCGGUCCGUAACUGGUCUGGGAGGAUGAUCAGUCACACUGGAACUGAGACACGGUCCAGACUCCUACGGGAGGCAGCAGUGGGGAAUAUUGGACAAUGGGCGAAAGCCUGAUCCAGCCAUGCCGCGUGUGUGAAGAAGGUCUUCGGAUUGUAAAGCACUUUAAGUUGGGAGGCGUUACCAACAGAAUAAGCACCGGCUAACUUCGUGCCAGCAGCCGCGGUAAUUC
rnacentral:rRNA from 1 species